rnacentral:lncRNA from 1 species
CAGUGAGUUGCUGCGGGUGAUCAGGCGGUUCGUCUACAGCGGCAACUGAGCGAUGAUGUGUUGCGAGCGAUUUGCCUGAUGCUUUGCGUGUUGCAUGGCAUGGAAAUCCAGUUACUGAACCUACUGAUGCAUUUUGAUGCUAGUUCUCGAAAUAAAAACGAGCAGAACCGCACUGGGACUUUAUCUCGCUCUUCUACAAAUAAAUCUACUUGCCACUUUCAUUACCUGUUGGAUGUUCAAGAAGUGCUUUCAUAACAUAAGGCGUUUUUUUUAUAUUAGUAUCGUGUUAGAAAAUGUCUUACGUUAUGGAACGAAGGGAG